AGGGUGAGGCCAACAGGAUCAAAAGUACGAGAGAUGUGUUGGUCCAUUCUUAUACCAGCAAUCAUAGGGUGUCACUUGUGAUAGAAAAUAAGACAUCUAGCAAGACCUUGGUGAGGCUGGACUGCAGCAGGAGUACAAAUAGCAGCACAGACAGGCCUAGCCUGGAGUGUGAUAUUGAUGUACCAGCUGGACAACUUGUUCAUGGCCAUCACAUUCUACCAACAGAUGAGAAGAAGGAAUGGUUCUUUCACUGUGCCGAGAGUAUAUUGAAAUAAUCUCUUUAGCUCCAUAGG